AGGUGGUGCGCGUCUCAAGGGACUGUGAAACAUCGUAACCAUUUGUAUCACAGCCCUGCUUGGGACACAGCCUACCUGC
rnacentral:pre_miRNA from 1 species